AAGCCAACAUUUCAUCUUCUCUCUCAUUGGAAGAGGGAGAACGAUCCCCAUGGAGAAGAUGAAGCCGUGAGCUUCAUGCUUGCUCCUAUCCCUCGAUUCUUCGUCGUUUAGUUAAUCCGAUCGCGAAUUCUCCGAUAAUUCAAGCGAAGGAGCCUAUAAUGCUAUUUGAACACAAAGGAGUGAACCUAGAAGGUAGAGAAGUAUCAAGGUGAAAUAGGCUUAUGUUCAUAAGCCUACGAGGUUAGAGUUGAUAGUAUGUCAGUGUGGUUGCGCAGCUUUGCAUCCUUGGCAAGUCACUGGUGGUCAACAUGGUUAAGAGUCGUGGCAUUGUGUAUAAUAGUUUAAUUUUUGAUCUUCCGCUAGGCAAGUGUUUUUAGAUAAAAUAGUUUGUAAUUGUGGUUUAAUCAAAAAAAAAAAAUCAGCACGGGUUGUCGAUACUGAAAUGUGACAUCACUUAUUCGGUGGGUUUAUCUACCGGGUAAGGGGUGUUACAUAAAAGAUAUUAAUUGUUAUACAUAUUAAUUGUGAUACUA